GUUUUUUUGUAAACUCUAAGAAGCAAGAAGUAAACAGGCCCAAGGGAAAUAACCAGUUGCCAGAGGUUGAUCUUCAAAGUAUCGCUCGAGUAAUUCACUUGUUGAUCAGAAACAUGGCUGUCAGCGGCACUCAAGUCUUGGUCCUACUCGCCACCGUCCUCGUCCUGUGCCAGUGUGUCCCCCCGCCCGUCGAGUCGCAUGCGGUCAUGGCCAGGUCGGCAGCCAACGAGCAGCAGUACAUGGAGAGUGUGUGCAGGAUUUUAUGUUCCUGGCCAGAUUCCUACUGCCCACCAGAAUGUUCUUUGGCAAGCUUCACUAAGAGGUCGUCACGCUUCAACAGAGCUAGAAAAUACGGAGGAGACUACAGCUUCGAUGACUUCAUGUUCAUGAAACUGUUGGGCCGUAACCUUGGUGACCAAAACUAAACAGCCGUGAGAACCACUCUACACACACACACAUUAUCUUAUAGCAACAGCCAGCAGCCAACUUUCAAUGACGCAUUAUUAGGGUUAAGGACACAGAUUAUCUUUCAAGACUCCCAGAUUAGAGAGCUCUCCAACGGGUUAUUAAUUCCAGAACAUUAUUUCAAUUUCACAUUUCAAGGGGAAAAAAAACUUUUUUUUUUAUACACCAUCUAAACUAAUUUUAAGACAUAGUAUAAGAGUUGUUUUUUUUUUUUGUUCCCAAAAUCGUAUUCUAUAGAUGCCAAAAAUUGUUAACAUUUUGUAAUGCGCUUUUUAAAUCAAAUUUGUUUCUUAGAAAAAUAAAAUUCUAUUCUGUAGGGUAGGGCUAGAAUGUAGAUUUUUAAUAGAUCUAGAUCUCUAUAUCUAAUUUUGGAAGCUAACUUUAUUAUAUUUAUACCAAAAAAUAAAAAAUAAAUUUGACCUUAAAAUUUUCUUUAUCUUAAAUUUACUGGAAAUCAAAAUGUUCUUGCCAAAUAGGUCAACCUUGUUUAGCAAAGUUCAUUGAUUGAACAGUUUGAAAUUAAAUGAAUUAUUCUAGAACAAUAUUUACACCAAUGUAUAGAACUAGCUUGAAAUAUUAAAAAAUAAAAAGAUUUUUUUUUAAACUUUA